ensembl:lncRNA
GUCUGAGAGACGUUCGAGCGACUGUCGGGAAAACGGAAUAUAAAGUGAAUUAAAGAAGCAGCCCGAGCAGCCCGCACCUUUGGGAUGUGGUGCAGCAGGAGAUUCGCAUCAUGGAUGUGCAGCCGACAAAUCUGUUGCAACUUUGUGAUGCUGUCAUGUCAACAUGGACCAGAAUCUGACGAAUCUUUCCAGCAGCUUUUUGGAUGAAGGAGGCAGUUCUGAAGGCAAAAGUACGAUUUGAUUAAUGUGGGUUUUGGCUCGUCUGGACAGAAACAUCAGCAAGGACACUGUGGACGUAAAAUGCUUCUGCUGCUGCUGCUGUGAUGGUGGUGUUGCAGACCCCCCAUGCAGGCCAGAUCUUUCUGCAGCUUCUGCACCGACACAUGAUCUGACUAGGAAGGAUGCAAAGGUGGAAGCAGACCGUGCUGGAUUUAGUUUCACAGCAUCUUACUGGAGCAAACGCACACAACAUACUGCAAGGUUUUCAGUAGUAUCUACUUCCCCCUUUUUUUUUCUUUUUUUUGUUUGAGAGGACACGGAUACACCCUGACUGGGCCCCUGUAGUGCUCUACAUUGUGGUUGGGAAGUACCUAGUUUUACAACUGUCAUGCUGGCCUGCUUAAAGGGACAGUGCUGAUCAAUUCGAAGCACAUAUUCAGGGGUCUUUUAGUCACCCUAACAAGGGGGUCACAUGGAUGUUUGAGUCGUCAUUCCUCAUGUGAGGAAUGUGCAGUCCGAAGAGCCGCUUUCUGCAUCAAGCACUGCAUAAAAAUACUGAUUGAUAUUUGUUAAAAGAAUGUCUUUAAUAAAAAGUUGAAUUGAAUUGGGUGUGAGAGUUUCCUGCUUUUGAAAAACGAAAGAGAGAAGACUCACAACUCUACAGGUUCUUUUUAGUCUGAAUGCAUAGUGGAUUUGUUUU